ACUCCUACGGGAGGCAGCAGUGGGGAAUAUUGGACAAUGGGCCACAAGCCUGAUCCAGCAAUUCUGUGUGCACGAUGAAGGUCUUCGGAUUGUAAAGUGCUUUCAGUUGGGAAGAAGAAAGUGACGGUACCAACAGAAGAAGCGACGGCUAAAUACGUGCCAGCAGCCGCGGUAAU
rnacentral:rRNA from 1 species